AGUGACUCACCCGUCGGCCCGGUGGCAGCAGUGCCCGUUCCUGCUGCCGUGGCUCUCCUGGCGCAGAGUGGAGCUCGAAAAACCUGCGCGACUUCUUAAGAAGAAAAUCCCAGCCGACUCUCCCCUCGCGGCUGUUUAAGGUGCAGAGAAGGAGGGGCUUGGCAGGCAGGGCAGUUUGGCUCCCGGCCGAAAGGCUGAGGGCCUGGAGCUGACCUCCCUGAGCGGCAACAGAGAUCAAUCUGGGAAAGUUCUUUGGGUGCCACUCCCAGCAACUUUCAGGGGUGGGGCUGGAACGGGAUCCCCCACCCCCGCACCCGGCCUGUUUCGGAAACUGCUUCCUGACGGCGUGUGAGUGGGCUUGGGAGCGCCAGCGUUGAUUCAGAGGGUUUAUCGGUGUUGACCGGGCCUAGGUCAAAGAGGUGGGUUUCCAAACCUCACAGCGUUGCCUGGCAAGGUUAGUCAUCAGUCCGCAUGGUAUGAGCUGGAAGGUUGCUCCAAGCUAAUGAGGUGGCAGCACUGUCCCUUUCGUGCCUAACCAUCGUGUCAUUUGUCCUGUUAAUUGAUUUACUUCUCACUUAAGGAAUCGUAACCAAAAUAAACAGUGUAAGUAGUUAUUUGCUUAACUGAAUACUGCGCUUUUCCGCAGCUUUUGGGGCCCAAGGCAGCCGUGUGGUUUCUUCGAAGGCCUCAGUAGUUUUUUAAAAGGGGGAUUGCUGUCUUUAAAAUGGUAAUGGUUCUACAUUGUCCUGGAGUUGCUAUUCAUACACCUGCUGGGCAGUUUUCAAAGUAAACGAUGGCAGCCUCAAGGACUCUAACUAGGAAUGACCAAUCCGAGGGAAUGUGGCUAAAUCUUUCUUGACAUAAGUUUUACAUUAAUGUCUCCUUCUGGACAAGAUAAUUAUGUUUAGGAUUUGCGCUGGUUUAUGGGUGCUUCCAUAUAAUCAACAAAAAUAAUGACGGGAAUCUUUGGGUUUCUAGUGCAGAUAUCAUGUGGGUCAACAGUCAUUUGUGGCUAUUAAAGAUGAUGGUAACAGAAAAGAAUAUACAAGGCAGGCAAUCCCCAAACUCGCAACUUCAAGAUGUCGUCACAGUACAGGCAACCAAAGAAAAUGGACAAAUGGGAUCAUAUUAAGCUAAAAAGCUUCUGCACAGCAAAGGAAACAAACUGAAGAGACAACCCACAGAAUGGGAACUAUCCAUCUGACAAGGGAUUAAUAACCAGAAUAUAUGAGGAGCUCCAACAACUCUAUAGGAAAAAAAAAUCUAAUAGUCCGAGUAAUAAAUGGGCAAAAGAUUUGAAUAGACAUUUCUCAAAAGAAGACAUACAAAUAGCAAACAGGUAUAUGAAAAGGUGCUCAGGCAAUAAAUACUGGCGAGGUUGUGGAAAAAAAAAGGAACCCUUGUGUUUGUGGGAAUGUAAAAAGUAUAACCACUAUGGAGAACAGUAUGGAAGUUCCUCAUAAAACUAAAAAUAGAGAUACCGUAUGACCUAGCAAUCUCACUGCUAGGUAUAUAUGCCCAAAAAAGGAAAUCAGUGUAUCAAAGAGAUACCUGCACUCCUAUGUUUAUUGCAGCACUACUCACAAUAGCCAAGGUUUGGAAGCAACCUAAGUGUCCAUCAACAGAUGAAUGGAUAAAUCGUUACAUAUACCCAUGGAGUACUAUUCAGCCAUAACAAAGAAUGAGAUCCUGGCAUUUGCAACAACAUAGAUGGAACUAGAGGUCAUUAUGUUAAGUGAAAUAAGCCAGGCACAGAAAGACAAAUUUCACAUGUUCUCACUUAUUCAUGGGAGCUAACAUUUAAAACAAUUGAACUCAUGGAGACAGUAGAAUGAUGGUUACCAGAGGCUGGGAAGGGUAGGGGGGAUGGGUAAUGGGUAAAAAAUAUAUAUAUAGUUAGAUAGAAUGAAUAAGGUAUAGUAUUUGAUAGCAAAACAGGGCAACUACAGGCAACAGUAAUUGUGCAUUUUAAAAUAACUAAGAAUAUAAUUGGUUUGUAACAUAAAGAAAGGAUAAAUGUUUGAGAUGGUAGAUAUCCCAUUUACUCUGAUGUGAUUAUUAUGCAUUAUGUGCCUAUAUCAAAAUAUUGUGUGUACCCCAUAAAUAUAC
rnacentral:lncRNA from 10 species